GUGUUGAAUGAAAGGAGAGAAGGUUAUCACUCCCUUUGGCAAGGGUAGAAGAGGCCAUUGGGCCUGACAACACGCAUGCGGUUAAGGCAUUGCCACCUACUUUGUGGCAUCUAACCAUCAUUUUCU